rnacentral:rRNA from 1 species
UGUUUGUAGGUAGCGUGAGUGUUUGAUUCAACCAUUUUCUGCCCGGUGGAUUCUAAACGGCCGCGGUACUCUGAMCGUGCAAAGGUAGCAUAAUCACUUGCCUUUUUAUUGGGGGCUAGMUGAAUGGGAUUAUAUGAGACUCCUACUGUCUCUUUUUUUAUUUUGGAAAUUGCUGUUUUUGUGAAGAAGCAGAGGUUUGGGAGAAAGACAAGAAGACCCUAUUAAACUUAAUUGUUUUGUUUGUGUUUUCUUUUUUUGAAAAGUGAUUAUGGGCUGUAAUAAUUUGGUUGGGGWGAUGGAGAAAGAGUGAAGAUCUUUUUUUUUUA